rnacentral:misc_RNA from 1 species
AUUGGACUUCCGGAGUGUUUAUCCCAGCGUGUAUGGGACUCUGGAUAAUCAGAUAAAUAAUUACAAUUUUGUAGCAUUGAUUUGUCUACUGUUACAGCUUGGUGCAUGUUUGUCGCUCGCAGGAUAUUAUCAGCCUGCGUUUUCAUGUGCAGGCUGUCAUAGCAUCGGUUGAUGCGCAAGUAGCGAGGAAGUGAGACAACGUGACCCCUGACCUAAGUUUGGCUGUCACAUCUGCUGAUCGGAAGAUGGCUGACUUCAGGAACUACCUGUAAUAAGUGUCAGUAUGACUGAAAAUUCGGAAGAUACAACCUGGGUAGGACUCAGGUCAAUGGAGGAAUUACAGGAAUUAAUUGCCGAAAAGGAUAAUAUUAUCAGUCAUCAGUGUGGAAAGAUAGAAAGUUUGCAAGCCGAACUGGCACAAGUGAAAGAGGAACGAGACCAAUUGCUGAGUAAAUUGUCUACAGUAAACAGCACUGAAGAUGAGACCACGAAGGAAGACGGCGUUGGCGGGUCAAAAGUUGGAGACCGAAAGCAGUCCGUGGGAUCUCCACUUGAGUCACCGCGGAGUUCCAAACUUGUCAAUCAGGGGAGUAUCAGCUGUAGCCGAAUCCAAAGACAACGUUCCUUUAAGAGUUCUAACGAUGACGUGAUCAAGCGUUCUCGGACUCAGUCCGUGUCGUAUGAACUGUCUCAGGACCUGCAUGACAAGCAGGUUGAAAUGCUAGAGCGAAAAUACGGAGGUUCCAUCAGAUCCCGUCGAGCAGCCAAGACAAUUCAGAGAGCUUUCAGACAGUAUUGCAUGACCAAGAACUUCCAGAAACUGAGACAUUCUGUUGGAGAACGAAGACUAUCAAAGCGUUUGUCUGAACUAGGACGCAGCAACACAAUCUGGACCGAUCGUUUCAUCACCGAUGGGAAGUUUGAAGCUUCAGAUGUAAUUUCUGAGAGUUCUUUUGGAAGUGAUGUCAGAAAGAUGGUUGCAGAAUUUGAAUCUGGACGUGACCACAAACUUUAUCACCAAAUGUCAUUUGACCAUGGAGUCAAAGUGGAUUCUCAAAAGGCACGGUUUGGUAGACGUGGAAAGAAAUUGGAAAGAUCAGUUGAGAUAGAUAUAACGGACAUUCCAUGUGAGAAGGAGAAGAAAGGCAAGCCAGGGGCGGCCCUAAUCGAAGAAACAAAUAACAAUCGUAAUUCCUACCCGGAAAUGAAUGACAGUAGUGCCAGUGACUCUCCACAACCGACACCUUUAGAAAGUGCUGUAGAUCCUCAUAGCUUGGACUUCGAGACCUUACUGGAAAGCAAAGAGACUGACAUUCUCACAGAUAGUUUUCAUAGUGAUAGUAUACAUAGUGAAAGUAGCCAGGAGGCGAGCACACUGACGUUAAGUCAUCGCCCAUCCGCAUCAUCGCUUGGCUCUGACUUCAGUGUCAAUACAACUGCUGAUAGUGCUCGAGGUUCAUCAGCAUCGUUUGACAGUUUCCGCAACCUGAACUCGGAGUCAUGUGAAAAUGUCUCAGUGGCUAGUGAUGUGCAAAUUAAGGUGGACUUGGCCUCUCCAGAGGACACGAGACUCAUUGAACAAAAUCAAACAUCAUCGCCAAACGAUGGCGUGAAAUACUACAUGAACUCACAGGUGAAACUCCGAUCUCGAAAACCUGGCGAGGAGAAGGUGAAGCCAGCACCCCCUGUUCGUGCCCCGGAUACAUCUCCGAUCUGGAAAAGAAAGGGGAAUGGGGGGACAGUCAAUGGUAAUAUUGCCCCAGUGAAUGCUGUAAAAGCUGAAGCGAAACGAAUGAGCAAUAUUUCCGAAACAAGUGAACCUGAUAGUAUUGACGGUCAGUGCUCCAGCUCCCCAAGUUCCGAGAACAUCAGUACAGAGAACAUAAGUAUUUCUAGUGAGAACAGCAUUAGUUAUCAGAGGAGACUACGGUUAAGUGUCACACCCGACCAACAGACGAUGCCAAGAACCAAUGACAAGCAACGCAAGAGGGCAUACCGAAUUGGACUCAACCUCUUCAACAAGAAACCGGACAAAGGGUUGAACUUCCUACUAGACCAUGGAUUUUUAGAAGGCUCCCCACGAAGUGUGGCAAAGUUCUUCAUCCUACGGAAAGGUCUAAGCAAACAAAUGAUAGGAGAAUACCUGGGCAACUUGCAACAACAAUUCAACAUGGAGGUCCUACACUACUUCACGGAAGAAAUUGACUUAUCUGGACUUCAGGUGGACGUUGCACUACGAAAAUACCAAUCCUACUUCAGAAUGCCGGGUGAAGCUCAGAAGAUAGAGAGAUUGAUGGAGGCGUUUGCAGACCGAUACUGUGUUUGUAACCCGGACCAAAUCAAGAACUUCAAGAACACGGACACUAUCUUCCUCCUGGCCUUCGCCAUCAUCAUGCUCAACACUGACCUCCACAAUUCCAACAUUAAACAUGACCGCAAGAUGAAACUGGAAGACUUCAUAAAGAACCUCAGAGGUAUUGAUGAUGGUGGGGACGUGGACCGAGACCUACUGGCUGGUAUCUAUGUUCGAGUCAGGGAACAAGAGUUUCGCUCGGGCGUGGAUCAUGUGUCACAAGUCGCCAAGGUGGAACAGACAAUAGUUGGAAAGAAACCGGCUCUGACCCUGGCUUGGCGACGUCUGGUGUGCUACUGUCGACUCUACGAGGUCCACGAUCCAAACAAAAAAGAAAAAAUCGGUCUCCAUCAGAGAGAAGUGUUUCUGUUUAACGACAUGAUCCUUGUGACCAAAAUCUUUAGUAAGAAGAAGAGUGGAAUUACAUAUGCUUUAAAGAACUCGGCGUCUCUCUGUGGAAUGCAGGUUUUCCUGUUUGAAACAUCACAUUAUCAGUUUGGUAUUCAACUGAAUAACACUUUAGAUGGCAAAGUUAUACUAACUUUCAAUGCCAGGAACGAUCAUGACAGGCAGAAGUUUGUAGAAGAUCUCAAGGAAGCCAUUAUGGAAACCAAUGGCAUGGAGCAGAUGCGCAUAGAGGAGGAGCUACACCGACAUCGGACCAACCACAACACGUUAGAGAAGCACUAUGCAAAUGACGACUCACGGGUACUAAUCUCCAGGGAUGAAAAGAGGUAGUAGCGGUGCUUCGCUGGAUAGCGGGGUGAGAUUUGGCACAGUUGCACCCUAAGACAACACAUUCUGACAAAGAUAAGGAGUUAAGGAGGUCUCUGGUAGUGUGGGGAGUGCCAGCAGCCGGGAGGAUGCCCCCCUGAGCCCAGCAGCGUCCCACCUCCACAACCUGUCC